GCCAAGGCAGUGGAUGACCAAUCCAGGGUGUACUUCGAGACAGAAAACCGUUUCUACAAAUAUUCAAACCAAAUGGUGAUUUAGAGUCACCAGGUAUCCUAUCCCUACAUGUCUUUGGACUGUGGCAGGAAACUUAGGCAGCGUAAAAACACAAAUCCUCACAGAAAGGUCCCAGUCGUGCAGCAGAUUCACAGCCUUUUUGGCUGAGCUAACUACAGCACCGCCAUACCUGUGGGUCAUAAUGACUCCGAUGUAGGUCGGCUACCGGGUUAGCAUGCUAAUUUCAGUAGAAGAAUAAAAGCGAUAGAAGGAGAAGCAAAACAGGAGUUAGUAUUGGCGUUGCUCUCCACCGCUGGAGACAGCUCUCGGCGAGUAAAGGACUGAAGUUUGGUGCCGAACUCGCAACGGUUUUUUUCUAGACCGUGCUUCGUAUUUCAGCCCGAAAUUACUCCUCCGUGCUGCUCACACAUGCCUUGUACCAACCAAAAAAAAAGUAACCCAGAGGCUUUUUGUGAGAAAACUGCCACGAGCUAUGGAGCCAAACCAGGCUGGACCAAGCAGUUUGCCUCUUUUCAAGUCCCGCUGCUGCUGGAGCCGGUUCAUGGCACACAAGUGUGAAAUUGGUGAAUAGAUUACAUGUAAGGGCUGUGAUGAUGUGCCAGCAGCUGGUCCAUCGUUACAGGUCAAUACUGAUCAAACGUGGCUGAUAAUGUGUGCAGUGAGUCAAUUUUUUUCGCUCAUGUGUGCAGAUAUCAGGACAUUAGUGAAUCCUCUCAUUGGAAAGAAAUUGUAUUUAUUGAUAAAAAUCCAUUAUAAAAGACUAUACAAUGUAAUUUCCACAUAUAUUUCCCACUUCAUUCAUUUUUAUUCUUUUUUACACUUGAUAUUUUUUUUACAAA